rnacentral:rRNA from 1 species
GAUUAUGGCUCAGGAUGAACGCUAGCUACAGGCUUAACACAUGCAAGUCGAGGGGAAACGAUAUUGGAAGCUUGCUUCCGAUAGGCGUCGACCGGCGCACGGGUGAGUAACGCGUAUCCAACCUGCCCAUCACUUGGGAAUAACCUUGCGAAAGUAAGACUAAUGCCCAAUGAUAUUUAUAGAAGGCAUCCGAAAUGAAUUAAAGAUUUAUCGGUGAUGGAUGGGGAUGCGUCUGAUUAGCUUGUUGGCGGGGUAACGGCCCACCAAGGCGACGAUCAGUAGGGGUUCUGAGAGGAAGGUCCCCCACAUUGGAACUGAGACACGGUCCAAACUCCUACGGGAGGCAGCAGUGAGGAAUAUUGGUCAAUGGGCGAGAGCCUGAACCAGCCAAGUAGCGUGCAGGAUGACGGCCCUAUGGGUUGUAAACUGCUUUUAUAGGGGAAUAAAGUGAGCCACGUGUGGUUUUUUGCAUGUACCCUAUGAAUAAGGACCGGCUAAUUCCGUGCCAGCAGCCGCGGUAAUACGGAAGGUCCGGGCGUUAUCCGGAUUUAUUGGGUUUAAAGGGAGCGUAGGCCGGAGAUUAAGCGUGUUGUGAAAUGUAGAUGCUCAACAUCUGAACUGCAGCGCGAACUGGUUUCCUUGAGUACGCAUAAAGUGGGCGGAAUUCGUGGUGUAGCGGUGAAAUGCUUAGAUAUCACGAAGAACUCCGAUUGCGAAGGCAGCUCACUGGGGCGCAACUGACGCUGAAGCUCGAAAGCGCGGGUAUCGAACAGGAUUAGAUACCCUGGUAGUCCGCGCGGUAAACGAUGGAUGCCCGCUGUUGGGCCAACUGGUUCAGCGGCCAAGCGAAAGCAUUAAGCAUCCCACAUGGGGAGUACGCCGGCAACGGUUCAACU